UACGAAGGGGGCUAGCGUUGCUCGGAAUUACUGGGCGUAAAGGGAGCGUAGGCGGACAUUUAAGUCAGGGGUGAAAUCCCGGGGCUCAACCUCGGAAUUGCCUUUGAUACUGGGUGUCUUGAGUAUGAGAGAGGUGUGUGGAACUCCGAGUGUAGAGGUGAAAUUCGUAGAUAUUCGGAAGAACACCAGUGGCGAAGGCGACACACUGGCUCAUUACUGACGCUGAGGCUCGAAAGCGUGGGGAGCAAACAUG
rnacentral:rRNA from 1 species